rnacentral:rRNA from 1 species
GAUGAACGCUGGCGGCGUACCUAAUACAUGCAAGUCGAGCGAACAGACGAGGAGCUUGCUCCUCUGACGUUAGCGGCGGACGGGUGAGUAACACGUGGAUAACCUACCUAUAAGACUGGGAUAACUUCGGGAAACCGGAGCUAAUACCGGAUAAUAUAUUGAACCGCAUGGUUCAAUAGUGAAAGACGGUUUUGCUGUCACUUAUAGAUGGAUCCGCGCCGCAUUAGCUAGUUGGUAAGGUAACGGCUUACCAAGGCAACGAUGCGUAGCCGACCUGAGAGGGUGAUCGGCCACACUGGAACUGAGACACGGUCCAGACUCCGACGGGAGGCAGCAGUAGGGAAUCUUCCGCAAUGGGCGAAAGCCUGACGGAGCAACGCCGCGUGAGUGAUGAAGGUCUUCGGAUCGUAAAACUCUGUUAUUAGGGAAGAACAAAUGUGUAAGUAACUAUGCACGUCUUGACGGUACCUAAUCAGAAAGCCACGGCUAACUACGUG